GAUUAUGGCUCAAGAACGAACGCUGGUGGCGUGUCUUAUACAUGCAAGUCGAGCGAGGCAGCAAUGCCGAGCGGCGAACGGGUGAGUAACGCGUAAGCAAUCUGCCCCAUAUCAGGAAAUACCCGUGCCAACGCGCGGUUAAUGUCCAGGAGAGUGGCCCUCUGCAUGGAGGGUUGACUAGAGAUUUAUCGGUAUGGGAUGAGCUUGCGUCCGAUUAGCUAGUUGGCGGGGCAACGGCCCACCAAGGCGACGAUCGGUAGCCGGCCUGAGAGGGUGAUCGGCCACAUUGGGACUGAGAUACGGCCCAGACUCCUACGGGAGGCAGCAGUAGGGAAUAUUGCACAAUGGGGGAAACCCUGAUGCAGCAACGCCACGUGUGGGAAGAAGCAUUUCGGUGUGUAAACCACUGUCAUGAGGGAAUAAGGCCCGCCUUCGGACGGGAUUGAAUGUACCUUGAGAGGAAGCACCGGCAAACUUCGUGCCAGCCGCCGC
rnacentral:rRNA from 1 species